AAAAUUCACUCAAAACACUCCAAAAUUCACCCGGGGCACCCCAAAAUUCAGCCGGGACACCCCAAAAUUCACCCGAAACACCCCAAAAUUCAAGCAGAACACCCCAAAAUUGACCCAGGAACACCCCAAAAUUGACCCACGAACACCCCAAAAUUCAUCCAGGGAACCUCAAAUUUCAGCCAGAAAUAUCCCAAAAUUCAGCUGGGACACCCCAAAAUUCACCCAGAAACACCCCAAAAUUCAAGCAGAACACCCCAAAAUUCACCCGGGACACCCCAAAAUUCACCCGGGACACACCAAAAUUCACUCAAAACACCCCAAAAUUCACCCGGGACACCCCAAAAUUCACCUUGGACACUUCAAAAUUCACUCAAAACACCUCAAAAUUCACCUGGGAACACCUCAAAAUUCACCCAGAACACCCCAAAAUUGACCCACGAACACCCCAAAAUUCACCCGGGACACCCCAAAAUUCACCCAGAACACCCCAAAAUUCACUCAAAGCACCCCAAAAUUCACCGGGGACACCCCAAAAUUCACUCAAAACACUCCAAAAUUCACCCGGGACACCCCAAAAUUCACCCGGGACACCCCAAAAUUUACCCAGGAACACUCCAAAAUUUACCCAGGAAAACCCCAAAAUUCAUUCAGGGAACUUCAAAUUUCAGAAAUAUCCCAAAAUUCGCCUGAAACACCCCAAAAUUCACUCAAAACACCCCAAAAUUCACCCGGGACACCCCAAAGUUCACCCAGAACACCCCAAAAUUCAAGCAGAACACCCCAAAAUUCAAGCAGAACACCCCAAAAUUCACCCGAAACACCCCAAAAUCACCUGAAACACCCCAAAAUUCACUCGAAACACCCCAAAAUUCACCCAGGACACCCCAAAAUUCACCCUCCGAGUCCCUCGCCUGGAGCUGGAACCAUCCCAGGAUCCCAUCCACCACAGGAGCACGCGGAGCUUUCUUAUAAAUUUAUUACAUAAUAAUAAUAAUAAUAAUAAUUAAUAAUAAUAAUUAAUAAUAAUAAUAAUAAUAAUAUAAUAUAAGAAACAUAGAUCU
rnacentral:lncRNA from 1 species